UUUGUGCAGGAGUGUCUAUUACCAGUAAGGAUCACUUGAUGGGAUUGGGGUUACUAUUAUGUUAUUGUUCAUUCUUUUCCUUUUGCCCUCGGGGGCAGCACAUUUCUCUCUUCUGUUUCUCUUUGGGCCUUUCCUGUCCUCCUGAAAUUCAGCCGUCUGCAGAUGGUUUUCCCAGCACUGGACAGCAUGGACAACAAGAGCUAUUUAUGACCUGUUUUUGAUAAUGACCCGGUGUUGUUGAUCCUGACCACCUGUUUUCUCUCUAGGGGAGUCCCCUCCUACCUUCCCCUCUAUUUUUAGUCCUGGAUUAGACAAAUAAACAUAACAACCAGUCACUGAAUCCUAGUAACCUGUUACUAUGGAUUUGUAUGCAGUACAGAACGGCUCUUCUUCGCCUGGCUUGUUCUGACCCACCUUUCCAGACCCACGUCUUCCAGGAAGUGCUCGCUCACUCAGUCACGGGGCUUGCAAGUGCUUAUCCGGAUUCCAGCAGCAGGUAACUGAAAUGAAGCGGUUUAAGAAGUAUGGAGACCGUACACCGUGCCUGUUGGCCCCAGAACGCAGCCUCCGGGACAGACGACCUCGCCGAAGGUGGCCUCUCCUUCGCCAGAAACAGUUACCAAGGAACACAUCUCCGAAGACUUCCGAGGAUUUAGGUGCAGUCUUUCCUGUGUGCUGAAGGCACCUUUAGAACUCCAGAAUCAGAAGUCCAGAAUCACGAAACCUGCCUUUGUUUGGAAGACGUCGGUGGAAAGACAGCAGAGUCCCUGGAAACCCAGAGACACCGUCUCUGUGUGUGUCUCUCUGUCUCUGUCUCUUUGUCUCUCUCUCCCUCUGUCUCUGUUUCUCCCUCUCUCUCCCCCUCUCCUUCUCUCUCUUGCUCUCCCUCUCCUCUCUAUCUCUGUCCCUCUCCCUUUCCCUCUGUCUCUCUCUGUUUCUCCUUCUCUGUCUCUAUCUCUGUCUCUCUCUGUUUCUCUCUAUCUCUGUCUCUCUGUCUCUCUCUCUUUCCUCUCUCUCCCUCUCCUUCUCUGUCUCUGUCUCUCUCUCCCUCUCUCCCUCCUCUCUCUCCCUCUCCUCUGUCUCUGUGUCUCUGUCUCUCUCUCUCCCUCUCUCCCUCCUCUCUCUCCCCCUCUCCUUCUCUGUCUCUAUCUCUCUCUCUCUUGCUUUCCCUCUCCUUCUGUCUCUAUCUCUGUCCCUCUCCCUUUCCCUCUGUCUCUCUGUUUCUCUCUGUCUCUGUCUGUUUCUCUCUCUCUCCCUCUCUCUGUCUCCCUCUCUCUCUGUCUCUAUCUCUGUCUCUCUCUGUGUCUCUCUGGCUCUCCCUCUCUCUCUCUGUCUCUCUCCCUCUCUGUCUCUCUCCAUCUCCUUCUCUGUCUCUGUCUCUCUCCCUCUCCUUCUCUGCCUCUCUGUCUCUCCCCUCUCUCUCUGUCUCCUUCUCUGUCUCUCUGUCUCCCUCUCUCCCUCUCCUUCUCUGUCUCUCUCUCUCUCCCUCCUCUCUCCCUCUUCUCUCUUUCCGUCUCCUUCUCUGUCUCUCUUGCUCUCCCUCUCUGUCUCCUUCUCUGUCUCUCUCUAGCUGUCUCUCUCUGUCUCUGGCUCUGCCGGCUGGCUGCAGCACGCCCUGGUGACGUGGGUCUUGGAGGCCCCCGGGCCCAGGCAGCGCCGUUUGGGACACAGCCACAAUGCUGCUCGAGCUCUGCGAGACCCAAGUCCCCACCUCAGUGCAGUUAAGCACACCGCUAUUGUGUGGGGCACUUUGAGCUCCAUCUCAUGCACCGUUCUGUGUUCGGCUCACAUUGUUCAUGUUGUUAUCUUGUGAAAUCACGCUGAAUUCCCACUUCCCUGUCUGAACUGCCAUGGCGCUAGCCAAGUGGGAGAAAAGGUUCUUCGGAGAUUGAUUUUUUUCCCAGACACCAUGGUUCUGUUCAAUUGAAUUCACUCAAGUUGUGGUUAACAUAAACACCACAGAGAGUAGGACAUGUCAAAUUAGCAGCUUUGCAAAUCUCCUGUUAAUUGUCAGCCUAAUUAAAAAAUUGCUAAUUAUAAUGUUUAUAACUUCAAAUAAUUGCUCAGCUAUAAAGUAGGGACUGUCAGGUGUAAACAGGGGACUGGAGGGGAAAAAAUCAAUCGACAUCUGUUAAUUUAUUAGCGGCAGUGCACCAAAUUGAAAAAUGGAUAGCCUAUUGCACCGUAAAUCCACGUUGCGAUAAAAAGACCAAUUCAUUCAGCACCUGCUUUAAUAAAUGAUAAUGGCCAUCUUUACUAGCUUGCCCCAGGGCGUCUUUGCUUAUCAAAUUCCCAUCCUGUCUGGGACGUGAAGAAAGGCACAUGACGGAUCUCUAGGAGGGAGAGCCAUUGACAAAACGCUUGCCCCGUUUAUCAGAGAGCACAGACCCCUGCAACUCGACUGAAGAAAAUCAUUUAACAUUUGGUGCUGUGCAAAAUUAAAAAUGAAAACCUAAAACGCACAGAGACACACACAUUCGGAUGCCAAACGUGGGGGGACUCUCUCUUCCCUGAGAGAAUUCUGGAGUGCUGGGGCCCAUAGCUCGCUCCCUUUGGUCCAGAUUCCCAGAGCAUCGCUACCUGCUGGACACCGUGGACCGGGCAGCUGGGAACGCCAGGUUCUGAGAUGUGCUCUCCCACCGUCUGGCCCUUUGUAAACGUGCCUGCUCUGCAGGUGUCUGUGUGGCCCUGCCCCGGGCUGGGGCAGGUCACCGCGCUCUGCUCCUGGCCCACCCCGGGCACUGGGGACUCCCCAGGGUAGGGGCCCCUGCCUUCACCGCCCUCUUCCUUGUUCCCGACCUGUGGAGGAAGGACGCAGAGACCCUCUCUGUCAUGUCCCUCCCCUGAUGCAUGCAAGGCACUCCCUGAGCUUCCUGGAGCAAAAUCCUAGGUAAAUGCUCACAGAUGCUUCAGUGAGCACUGGGGUGUUGUCCACUCUUGAGUCGCCAGACGUUUGUUGAGAAUC